CCUACGGGAGGCAGCAGUAAGGAAUAUUGGACAAUGGGCGCAAGCCUGAUCCAGCCAUGCCGCGUGAAGGAUUAAGGUCCUCUGGAUUGUAAACUUCUUUUAUAGGGGACGAAAAAAGGGCAUUCUUGCUCACUUGACGGUACCCUAUGAAUAAGCACCGGCUAACUCCGUGCCAGCAGCCGCGGUAAUACGGAGGGUGCAAGCGUUAUCCGGAUUCACUGGGUUUAAAGGGUGCGUAGGCGGGCAGUUAAGUCAGUGGUGAAAUCUCCGAGCUCAACUCGGAAACUGCCAUUGAUACUAUCUGUCUUGAAUAUUGUGGAGGUAAGCGGAAUAUGUCAUGUAGCGGUGAAAUGCUUAGAUAUGACAUAGAACACCUAUUGCGAAGGCAGCUUACUACGCAUAUAUUGACGCUGAGGCACGAAAGCGUGGGGAUCAAACAGGAUUAGAUACCCUGGUAGUCCACGCCCUAAACGAUGGAUACUCGACAUACGCGAUACACUGUGUGUGUCUGAGCGAAAGCAUUAAGUAUCCACCUGGAGACGUCCGCAGGAUGAACUUAAUGAAUUGACGGCUUGAGNGNGCGAGGCGACACGAGGGAGAG
rnacentral:rRNA from 1 species